UACGGAGGGGGCUAGCGUUGUUCGGAAUUACUGGGCGUAAAGCGCACGUAGGCGGCUUUGUAAGUUAGAGGUGAAAGCCCGGGGCUCAACCCCGGAAUUGCCUUUAAGACUGCAUCGCUAGAAUUGUGGAGAGGUAAGUGGAAUUCCGAGUGUAGAGGUGAAAUUCGUAGAUAUUCGGAAGAACACCAGUGGCGAAGGCGACUUACUGGACACAUAUUGACGCUGAGGUGCGAAAGCGUGGGGAGCGAACGGG
rnacentral:rRNA from 1 species